UACGGAGGGUGCAAGCGUUAUCCGGAUUCACUGGGUUUAAAGGGUGCGUAGGCGGUCGGGUAAGUCUGACGUGAAAUCUCCAAGCCUAACUUGGAAACUGCGUUGGAUACUAUCCGGCUAGAGGAAUGGAGGGGAGACUGGAAUACUUGGUGUAGCAGUGAAAUGCGUAGAUAUCAAGUGGAACACCAGUGGCGAAGGCGAGUCUCUGGACAUUUCCUGACGCUGAGGCACGAAAGCCAGGGGAGCAAACGGG
rnacentral:rRNA from 1 species